GACCGCGUAGCUCAGUUUGCAGAGCAUUGGGCUAGUAUUCCAAAGGUCGUAGGUUCGAUUCCCACCGUGGCCG